rnacentral:rRNA from 1 species
AGAGUUUGAUCAUGGCUCAGAUUGAACGCUGGCGGCAGGCCUAACACAUGCAAGUCGAGCGGUAGCACAGAGAGCUUGCUCUCGGGUGACGAGCGGCGGACGGGUGAGUAAUGUCUGGGAAACUGCCUGAUGGAGGGGGAUAACUACUGGAAACGGUAGCUAAUACCGCAUAAUGUCGCAAGACCAAAGUGGGGGACCUUCGGGCCUCAUGCCAUCAGAUGUGCCCAGAUGGGAUUAGCUAGUAGGUGGGGUAACGGCUCACCUAGGCGACGAUCCCUAGCUGGUCUGAGAGGAUGACCAGCCACACUGGAACUGAGACACGGUCCAGACUCCUACGGGAGGCAGCAGUGGGGAAUAUUGCACAAUGGGCGCAAGCCUGAUGCAGCCAUGCCGCGUGUGUGAAGAAGGCCUUCGGGUUGUAAAGCACUUUCAGCGGGGAGGAAGGCGNNNNNNNNNNNNNNNNNNNNNNNNNNNNNNNNNNNNNNNNNNNNNNNNNCGAUUGACGUUACCCGCAGAAGAAGCACCGGCUAACUCCGUGCCAGCAGCCGCGGUAAUACGGAGGGUGCAAGCGUUAAUCGGAAUUACUGGGCGUAAAGCGCACGCAGGCGGUCUGUCAAGUCGGAUGUGAAAUCCCCGGGCUCAACCUGGGAACUGCAUUCGAAACUGGCAGGCUAGAGUCUUGUAGAGGGGGGUAGAAUUCCAGGUGUAGCGGUGAAAUGCGUAGAGAUCUGGAGGAAUACCGGUGGCGAAGGCGGCCCCCUGGACAAAGACUGACGCUCAGGUGCGAAAGCGUGGGGAGCAAACAGGAUUAGAUACCCUGGUAGUCCACGCCGUAAACGAUGUCGAUUUGGAGGUUGUGCCCUUGAGGCGUGGCUUCCGGAGCUAACGCGUUAAAUCGACCGCCUGGGGAGUACGGCCGCAAGGUUAAAACUCAAAUGAAUUGACGGGGGCCCGCACAAGCGGUGGAGCAUGUGGUUUAAUUCGAUGCAACGCGAAGAACCUUACCUGGUCUUGACAUCCACAGAACUUUCCAGAGAUGGAUUGGUGCCUUCGGGAACUGUGAGACAGGUGCUGCAUGGCUGUCGUCAGCUCGUGUUGUGAAAUGUUGGGUUAAGUCCCGCAACGAGCGCAACCCUUAUCCUUUGUUGCCAGCGGUCCGGCCGGGAACUCAAAGGAGACUGCCAGUGAUAAACUGGAGGAAGGUGGGGAUGACGUCAAGUCAUCAUGGCCCUUACGACCAGGGCUACACACGUGCUACAAUGGCAUAUACAAAGAGAAGCGACCUCGCGAGAGCAAGCGGACCUCAUAAAGUAUGUCGUAGUCCGGAUUGGAGUCUGCAACUCGACUCCAUGAAGUCGGAAUCGCUAGUAAUCGUAGAUCAGAAUGCUACGGUGAAUACGUUCCCGGGCCUUGUACACACCGCCCGUCACACCAUGGGAGUGGGUUGCAAAAGAAGUAGGUAGCUUAACCUUCGGGAGGGCGCUUACCACUUUGUGAUUCAUGACUGGGGUGAAGUCGUAACAAGGUAACCGUAGGGGAACCUGCGGUUGGAUCACCU